rnacentral:lncRNA from 1 species
AACAUCUCAGGUGGCACCAGCAACAACGAUUAAGCAGUAUCAGUGCUAUUCGAAAACCAAAGCUAGCCAACAAAUAGAUGGAUUUCUCAGGUUUGAACAAUGCAUGCCAAAGUUUAUUUAUUUCAUGAUUUUGUGUUGGUUCAGGAGUCUCGCAUCAUCUGUGAUGGAGCUUUUGAGAGAAUCAGGAUUUGCAGGUAUGUCAUCUGUCGUCUCGUGCUGUUGGUCUAUUAACUGCCAAAUUUGAACGUGGGUAGGACCAUGGUGUGCUAGCCCAAGAAUACUGUGAACGGAGAGAUGAACUUCUUGGAUCCCUGUAUGACCUUGCAAAGCAAAUUAUAGAAGCAAAAAUAUCAGGUUUGGUCUAACUCUACGCCACUAUUUUCUUAAUGUUCUUCUUGCAUUUUUAUAAUUUGCAAGUUCAUCAUGUCUCUUUAUUUCCUUGAGAACAACCAAAGCUAGCCAGCAAAUAGAUCGAUUCCUAAGGUUUUAAACAAUGCAUGCCAAAGUUUAUUUAUUUCAUGAUUCUAUGUUGCUUCAGGAGUCUGGCAUCAACUGUGAUGGAGCUUUUGAGAGAAUCAGGAUCUGCAAGCAUGCCAAUGAAAUCUAAUCU